CGCAAGCCUGACGACGCAACGCCGCGUGGAGGACGAAGAUCUUCGGGUCGUAAACUCCUGUCGAGCGGGACGAACGAACCGCGGGCAUACCCGUGGAAAUGACGGUACCGCUAAAGGAAGCCCCGGCUAACUCCGUGCCAGCAGCCGCGGUAAUACGGGGGGGCAAGCGUUGUUCGGAAUUACUGGGCGUAAAGGGCUCGUAGGCGGCCAACUAAGUCAGACGUGAAAUCCCUCGGCUUAACCGGGGAACUGCGUCUGAUACUGGUUGGCUUGAAUCCGGGAGAGGGAUGCGGAAUUCCAGGUGUAGCGGUGAAAUGCGUAGAUAUCUGGAGGAACACCGGUGGCGAAGGCGGCAUCCUGGACCGGCAUUGACGCUGAGGAGCGAAAGCCAGGGGAGCAAACGGGAUUAGAUACCCCGGUAGUCCUGGCCCUAAACGAUGAAUGCUUGGUGUGGCGGGUAUCGAUCCCUGCCGUGCCGAAGCUAACGCAUUAAGCAUUCCGCCUGGGGAGUACGGUCGCAAGGCUG
rnacentral:rRNA from 1 species